rnacentral:tRNA from 1 species
GAGGCCUAGGACAUCGCCCUUUCACGGCGGUAACCGGGGUUCGAAUCCCCGUAGGGACG